rfam:Myotis davidii contig16605, whole genome shotgun sequence.
GCUGGCAUGGCUCAGUGGUUGAGCAUCAAGCUAUGAACCAGGAGAUCAGGGUUCGAUUCCCAGUCAGGGCA